UCUUUCUCUCUCUCUCUCUCUCUCUCUCCCUCUCUCUCUCUCUCUCUCUGUGUGUGUGUGUGUGUGUGUGUGAGAGAGAGAGAGAGAGAGAGAGAGAGAGGGAGAGAAAGA